CCUCCGCGGGCUUCCCCCGGCGGCCGGCCGGGCUCGGAGGCUCGCGGCCGGAGCGGAGCGGAGUGCGCACGCCGGGGUGGCAGGACUUCGGCAAGACCAACUUUCCGUGGUCCUGUCUGGUGUGAACCGUCAGCACAGAUGGCCUCCUGGAGCUUCCCCGAGUCGUUCGCUGGGGGAAGCGGGCGGUGAGCGGCCAGCCCGGGCGCUCCGCAGGCCGCGAGCUCCCGGCAGGGCUGGUGGCGGGGGUCCGCCUGGGGGAGGAAUCCCCGCCUGCUCCAUCGGACCCGGCCUGGCGCGGCUCGCGGCGCUCGGCGGGCUCCCUUCCAUUCUAGAAUCUUCCCGCUUGCUUCCCAGCCCGCGUUCUUCCGCCUGCCUUUAAUUGUGUAAGUUUGACGAAGUCAGAGCUUUGGGUUCCAGGAAAAGCGCAGGAGGGUCAUAGAGGAAGGGAGGGCGCAGGUUGGAGUCAGGUCCAAACAGUCCCUAUCGCCACUUUUGAAAAAAAAAAAAAACAACAAAAACCCUUAAGGUUGGUUUUAUUUUGCCUUUUGGUAGCGGGCGUAUUCAUUUAGAUUUUUUUUUCAAGACAGGCAAAUAAAAGGUGUUUGAAAUCUCUAGUUAUCCCGUUUAACACACCCAUCGAUGGCGCUUUUCUAGUUAAGCUACGGGGGAAACGUCUUUAUCCCGCAGUUAGGCUGCGAACUUGUGCAGAUGCUCAGGCUUUGUGGAGACGCUCCGGCAUCUGGCGCAGAGGCGCCCGGCGGGGAAAAGUUUGCAGCCCGGGCUUUGGGGCGCGCGGGGGGCAGGAAUUUUUCUGAGAAGAGAGGGGCAUAGAGAGGCGGCGCGGGUGGGGAGAGAAAAAAGGAACGCAGGGGGGAGGGGGAAAAGCAGCUUGCAGGAUGGGAGUUUCUUGCAGAAUUUACAGGAUUAAGGAGUUUGGGGAAGUCGCAGAGCUGCAGCGGAAAGGCAGGGGUCUGAGACUACUUUUGAGAAGAGAAACAACGCAAAACGAUCGCUGGAGGGCCAGAGCCCUGGUCGAAGGUGCCCUAGCUUUUAUGACCUGGUUAAUUGUGUCUCCUUUUUAUUUUUAUUUUUUUCCUUACCACUACUACUACUACUACUUUUAUUUUUUUUUAACCGAUACACUUUGGAGAGAAGAAGCAGACACAGGUUCCCACGGCGUCUGACGCCUGCGGAGCAAGUCCAGAGCCAGCUGGACUCGCAGCCUCUGGCCCGGCGGCACCAACUCCUCACUGGGUCAUUUUGAGCGCGCUGUGCCCACCUUUUCUGUUGCGUGUGGACGUGGGGAGGAUCUUCUAAGUCCCUCCAACGAAGGCAAGUGUGAGACUCUGGCCCUUUAUUUGUAAGAAGCAAGCCUUCAGAUUGCAGAAGUGUCGCGCGGGUCGCCGUGCGUUGCGCGAGUGGGAAGAUGGAGGAGGCCGGCACGCUGCUUUCGUGGACGCAAGUGAACCGGGCGUGAAGGCAGGGUGCGAGCUCUGCCCUUGGCCCAGCCCUGCGUGGGCGCCGUCCCAGAUUCCGGGCGGUGCGGGGUGCAGAGAUCUGGAGAGACUUGCGGGCUCCCCAGCGCAGGCUGCUCUGGGAUUUCGUUGGAAGAUCCGGCAGAGCCUUGGAGGAGAGGGCCCGGGAGGCUGUGUGUGCAGCGGAAACUUGUACGAAUGCCCCCACAGCGGAAAUGGUGCGCACGAGUAAUUUCUGCGGUGCACCCUUUUAAAAAUUGACAAGUGAACAAGAUCAAUUUUUUAAGAAAGCAAAGGUAGAAAACAAAAGGCGUGCGACUUCUUGACUGGCUUGUUCCCGCCUUUCUUCCUUCUCUAUACUCAGAUCAGAAACUUUUCUUUAAUUGCUCUUAUUCAGUGCGACAACUUUUAAUAAAAGCAUUUGCAUUUUAA
rnacentral:lncRNA from 1 species